rnacentral:rRNA from 1 species
GAUGAACGCUAGCGGCAGGCUUAACACAUGCAAGUCGAGGGGUAUAGGUUUUCGGACCUAGAGACCGGCGCACGGGUGCGUAACGCGUAUGCAAUCUACCUUUCACAGAGGGAUAGCCCAGAGAAAUUUGGAUUAAUACCUCAUAGUAUAGCAGUUUCGCAUGAAACCACUAUUAAAGUUCCAACGGUGAAAGAUGAGCAUGCGUCCCAUUAGCUAGAUGGUAAGGUAACGGCUUACCAUGGCUACGAUGGGUAGGGGUCCUGAGAGGUCAAUCCCCCGCACUGGCACUGAGAUACGGGCCAGACUCCUACGGGAGGCAGCAGUAGGGAAUAUUGGGCAAUGGACGCAAGUCUGACCCAGCCAUGCCGCGUGCAGGAUGAAGGCGUUAUGCGUUGUAAACUGCUUUUAUACAGGAAGAAACGACUCUUGCGAGAGGCAUUGACGGUACUGAAUGAAUAAGCACCGGCUAACUCCGUGCCAGCCGCCGCGGUAAAAC